UGUGGCCUUGUUGGAGUAGGCAUGGAACUGUAGGUGUGAACUUUAAGGCCCUCAUCCUAGCUGCCUGGAAGUCAAUAUUCUCAGCUGUGCCAUGCUUGGUUGGAUUCUGCCAUGCUUCCUGCCUUGAUGAUAAUGGACUGAACCUCUCUGAACCUACAUUAUGACAUCAUGGAUGCCGACCGGAGGGAGGACUGCAUGCAGAUGGCUUGCUCCUUGGAGCCAUGUGUCCGGUGCAUUUGUGCUGAGUGUGGGCCCAGCUGUGUGAGCAGAGUUCCUGAAACUGUGUGCUAAGGUGAAGCCUAGAGACUGAAAGUUGUUCUUGAAAGAUACCCAGCAGCACUAGGAUUCCCGCUUUCCCUCCCGAAUCCCGAACAUAUUAAAUCUCGAGAUCUCCUCCAAAA